rnacentral:tRNA from 1 species
UAGCUCAGACGGUAAAGCGUCUGCCUGUGAUGCAGGAGACCUGGGUUCGAUCCCUG